rnacentral:rRNA from 1 species
UACGUAGGGGGCAAGCGUUGUCCGGAAUCAUUGGGCGUAAAGCGCGUGUAGGCGGCCCGGAAAGUCUGUUGUGAAAGUCCAGGGCUCAACCCUGGAAAGCCGAUGGAUACUGCCUGGCUAGAGUUCGGAAGAGGCGAGUGGAAUUCCUGGUGUAGCGGUGGAAUGCGCAGAUAUCAGGAGGAACACCUAUAGCGAAGGCAGCUCGCUGGGACGACACUGACGUUGAGACACGAAAGCGUGGGGAGCGAACAGG